GUGGGACAGAGGGAUGGAUAGAUGGUGGGUAGAAAGUUAAUGUAACAGAGCAAAGCCCUGUCAUCCUGCUCGGCCACAGUGAUCUGUUUGUAAUCCUGCUUCAGAUGUUUGCUCGGAGCUGAGAUGGAGCUACACACUGUUUCCAUUGUUGGGCAUUUGGGUGGUAGGAUGAAGGCACGGAGGAGAAAGGGCACAAGACCAGACCAGCCUGGACGACUCCACUGGAGAGUCGCAGCUGCUCUAUUGAAGACGAGGAGCAGAGAGAGGAGUGUGUGAGGAGCCGGCGCAUUAUACAUGGGUGACAGUACAACGCUAUGUUUGCCAUCGAUUAUAAUGAAGUGCUAAUUGAGCUACAUCCUGAGCAGGAAUGGAUGAAACAGACCAGAUGUGAAAAGUUGAUGAAAAAAAGUUGAAAGGAGCCAUGCACUGAUGCAUUCAGUAUACGGUGGUGGAAAAAAGUUUCUGGACACCCCAUGCAUUUGUGAUAUUUUACAUUAAGAAUCACUGUAAAGUCAUUGAACUCCAAAUAUAGCUCCAUUCUCCAAACUUACAUGCUCCCUUCUGCACACGCUCUGUUCUGUCGAGGUAAAAACUGGAUGUUUCAGCAAGAUCAUGAAACACAUCCAGAGCAUCACAUGUUGAAACUGACCGUCAAGAGUUUAGUUUAGUUAUUUUUUUCUUGUUAACAAUAAAC